UGGGCGGUAGCUCAGCUGGUCAGAGCAGAGGACUGAUAAUCCUUGGGUCGCGGGUUCAAGCCCCCACCCGCCCUAC
rnacentral:tRNA from 1 species